rnacentral:RNase_MRP_RNA from 1 species
UUCGCAGCUCGCGGACGGGGAGCCUCGCUCCCAGAACACGCUGCGUGGAAAGUCCCCGUGCCUGCGGGCGGAGAGCGCCGGCGGGAGACCGCGCCGCUCAGGCCGCGGCGCGAGCGGCGAACGCCACCAGCGGACCUGCAGCGCCUCGGCCUGGGCCGGUUCGCACGAGCACAGCCAUCUCGUGAGCACCCGCGAGGGUGCCAACUGAACGGGGCUCACUCUG